AGUCUUUGUAGUAUAAUCAUUACCUUGGUCUUGUAAACCAAAAAUGGAGAGUAACCGCCCUCCCUAAGACU
rnacentral:tRNA from 1 species